rnacentral:tRNA from 1 species
UAGCUCAGUCAGUUAGAGCGUGGUGCUGAUAACACCAAGGUCACGGGUUCAAUCCCCAU